AAGUUGUGCAGUAAAGAGUCCAGUAAUCGCCGAGGUGUGAUGUCUGGUAGUGUCAAGAGAUCCUCCAACUUGUGACUUGCUUCUCUGUGGGAGGGGACAGAAGCUUGGGCGUCUUACUGUCCUUCUAAGUGCAGCUGAGCCCAAACUGCAGGUGACGAGACCACCAGGGUGGCUGGGUGGGGUGGAGAGAGGAAACUUUAGUCACCCUGUGGAGUGACCCGUCUGAGGCAAUGCUGCCCCCCCUGCGCUGGGAACAUCCGUAUUGCCCCCUAGCUUGAGCGCCCCCACCUCACUCCAGGAUGGGUGUGUACUUGCCCACCCCUUCCCUGGAGGUUGUGUGGUGGUCACAGUUCAGCUGGCUUUUGUAAGCUCGUGAGGACCAGGCCCUGUCUUUGUCCCCAAGGAGGCUGUGUCAGUGAUCAGCUCCAGGUAUGCUUGUGAACCCAACAAAUAUGCUGGCUUAGAAGUAAAACGUGAACGCCAUGGGCCCUUGGCACUGACCUCAUCUUCCUGGAGCGUGUGGGUGGUGAACCGGCAUGAAAGGUUCGUGUGCAUCCACCCUCCGAGGAGGGGACCUUUGAUCCUGUUCUAAGUAGUUGGGAGUGCUUCCUGGAGGAAGUGACCUUUUUGAAGUUGGACACAAAUGGGGCCUAUCUUCUCACAGAAGUCUGGCGGCGGGCUGUCUCCGGGGUUGUACAUGACCUCAGCAGUGCCACCGAGGAACCUGGCUCUUCCUUGGCCUCCCCUCUCUCCUCUCAGAAGGACUCAUCACCUUACAGCUGCAGCGCCUCAGGUGGUGGCAGCACACACACCUGCUGCCGAGCAGGAGUCAUUCCAGCAAGCAGAACUCCCCCGAAGGCGCCAUUGGCCCAAAAGCGCAGUGUGGCCACCUCUAACUGUAAAUCUGGGAAAACAGCAAAGGAGAAUGGGCAGCCCAUAGAUCAGGGUGUGCCCUUGGGACUGGAUACCUACUAUUUCCAGUAAAGUCUUGUUGAUCAGAAAGUCAGAAAUUUGGGUUUCAGCCACGACAUCCUCUUUUCCCAGAUGGACUAACGCCUUUCCAUUUCCCUUCUGGCACAGGGUAGCCACAGACCCACUUGGGAGGUCAGCAGUGGUCCCAGCCCAUUCCCAUAACCCUGCUCAGAGCAAUCUUUUCAACGAUGACUUUUCCUGAGAGAGAGGUGCGUUAGGCACUAAACCAGCUAUGUUACUCAGGCCAGGCAUGGCCGUGGCAACUGGUCCAGCCCCUUCAUCCGUGAAUAGUGGAAGGGGCUCCUUGGGCAGGAAAGGCGGGCUGGAGGCACGCCAGGGUCCAGAAAGAAUGGGAGGCUAGAUGAACCACUUUUCUUCCUGCAGUUUGCUGUGAAUAACAGAGGUGAUCCCAGCACUGCCCAUCUCCCAGCCUGCAGCUCAGUGCUUGCUGCCUGUGGGCCACCCUGCACUGAGCCAGUUAGGGGUCACACCCAGGCAUUUAGACCUCAGCUUCAUCACAUGUCAAGUGAGAACCAUCGCUUUAAAACGAGGUGUAGCAAUGGAAUAUUACUCAGCCAUCAAAAAGAAUACAUUUGAAUCAGUUCUAAUG
ensembl:lncRNA